AAUCUGUGGUGUGGGCAUUUCUAAAUCAAAUUCUUAAAAUGCUCCCAUGUUUCAUGAAACAUUUCCCCCUCCAAUUGUUUAAGUAUAGAAAUUUCCUUUCUUAGUUG
rnacentral:snoRNA from 1 species